CAGCAGCCGCGGUAAUGCGUAGGUGGCAAGCGUCGUCCGGAAUUAUUGGGCGUAAAGGGCUCGCAGGCGGUUUCUUAAGUCUGAUGUGAAAGCCCCCGGCCCAACCGGGGAGGGUCAUUGGAAACUGGGAAACUUGAGUGCAGAAGAGGAGAGUGGAAUUCCACGUGUAGCGGUGAAAUGCGUAGAGAUGUGGAGGAACACCAGUGGCGAAGGCGACUCUCUGGUCUGUAACUGACGCUGAGGAGCGAAAGCGUGGGGAGCAAACAGGAUUAGAGACCCCAGUAGUCCCUGUCUCUUAUAC
rnacentral:rRNA from 1 species